GAGUUUGAUCGUGGCUCAGAUUGAACGCUGGCGGCAGGCCUAACACAUGCAAGUCGAGCGGAUGACGGGAGCUUGCUCCUUGAUUCAGCGGCGGACGGGUGAGUAAUGCCUAGGAAUCUGCCUGGUAGUGGGGGACAACGUUUCGAAAGGAACGCUAAUACCGCAUACGUCCUACGGGAGAAAGCAGGGGACCUUCGGGCCUUGCGCUAUCAGAUGAGCCUAGGUCGGAUUAGCUAGUUGGUGGGGUAAUGGCUCACCAAGGCGACGAUCCGUAACUGGUCUGAGAGGAUGAUCAGUCACACUGGAACUGAGACACGGUCCAGACUCCUACGGGAGGCAGCAGUGGGGAAUAUUGGACAAUGGGCGAAAGCCUGAUCCAGCCAUGCCGCGUGUGUGAAGAAGGUCUUCGGAUUGUAAAGCACUUUAAGUGGGAGGAAGGGCAGUAAGUUAAUACCUUGCUGUUUUGACGUUACCGACAGAAUAAGCACCGGCUAACUCUGUGCCAGCAG
rnacentral:rRNA from 1 species